AUGUUCUUGUCGCGACACGCGAGAGGGACGAUUUUCCAGCUAUAAAUAGUAGGCUGUGGGACUUGAUUUCUGGAGUUGGAACGACGGAAAAUUUCGUCUUACACUCCGAGUUAUAGCCGUUUUACUAUAAAACACCCACAAUCACGAAUUCUGCUACGAUACAGGGAUUAUUAGUCUCAAUACACUUACAAUCAAAGUAGAUGCUAAUUCUCAGAAGAAUCUGAACCAUGAAGCUUGUUAAUUCAAAUACUGCAUGCUGAUUUAUGAGUAAUUACAAUAGAUUGGAGUAAGGAUUGGAUCCGACACUGAAGGACUUCAAGAAGUGGCUUAUUUACAAAUUAAGA
rnacentral:lncRNA from 1 species